GGGCCAUUACCUGAGGUGGUUACACCGCACCCAUGAUGAUGAUGACGCCGCUGGUUCUCGUCCAUGAUGGCCC
rnacentral:tRNA from 1 species